CAGGAUGCAUGACUCUGUAUCUGUUGGCUGAGAAUAAAUGGCCCUGGCUCUAGCAGAUGCAAUGCUACGCUUUCCGGCCUUGCGAGAAGUCGGGUGCCACGCGGGGAUUGGUGCUGCAGUUCGUGCAGCGGUGUCGCCAGGCUGACCACGAAGGACACCGCUUGUCUGUCUCCGUCGUAGGCCCCCAGCUACCCACGAGAGCCAGGUGAUUAAUACUUAAAUACCUGUCUUUUGGACACUGUGUUCAUAAUGGAGUUUCCUGACUUGGGGAAGCACUGCUCAGAACCAACUUGCAAGCAACUAGAUUUUCUGCCAGUAACAUGUGAUGCAUGCAAACAAGAUUUCUGUAAAGACCAUUUUUCCUAUGCCAGUCAUAAGUGUCCCUUUGCAUUCAAGAAGGAUGUGCAGGUGCCCGUGUGUCCCCUCUGUAGUGUCCCCAUCCCUGUGAAAAGAGGAGAGAUCCCAGAUGUGGUGGUUGGAGAGCACAUGGACAGAGAUUGCACCUCUCACCCUGGGAGGAACAAAAAGGUGAGAGUUGGAUUAG